CUCAGUGGUAAGCACUUGGCUGUCAUGCACAAGGGCCUGGGUUCCAUUCCCAGUGCUACAAAAAAUGAAAGUUAAAAAAAAAUUCAGGGAUUAAAAACUGGGCAACAAUGAAAACUCUUGAGAAAUCAGCCUCUACCUCAGAGCAAAGCCUGUCCAAGGAAGGGGGCGUGACCCUCGUCUUUGGAAAGAUCCACAGAGCACUCUUAGGCACAUACCCACCCUGCUGAGUUGUUUAUGUACAAAUAACAGGAGAGAUCUGCUGCGCCAGGUGUCCCUGACUCAGUCAGGCUAGGUGGGAACCCACAACCCCCUAGCAACCACCAAUCAGCAUGAGACAGGGAAAAUACCUGGGAUGCCAGGUGACCCUCCCAGUAGUUUAUGGUGGUUGAUAACGUGUUGGGAAACCAUGUAGUUCAGCACGUACACCCCUCAAGGCUUAAACCAGUCAGUUCAAAGGAAUCCCCCUCUUGUACUAACCAAUCACCCCUACCUAAAUUGUUCCCACCAGUGAAUGUGCUAAUCAUGUUUUAGAGCUGUUUUAUGAUUUUCCCAUGGUGUGUGUUGAUUGCUAAGAGAUGCUAUGAUGUAUGAGAAGUCCCUGCCUUCCCCAAAGAGUGUAUAAAACUGCU
rnacentral:lncRNA from 1 species